GAAAUGGUGACGUGAGCCUGGAAUGGCCAGGAGCCACUACAUAGUACCUAAAAUAAACCCACACUGCGGGAGGCAGAGCUAAGACAGAGAAAAAUGGAAUUCUGAAGAUAUUAUUAGAGCUGCUAUCAAUCUGGCCCUAGCCCCGAACUUUUCAAUUACUUGGGCCAAUAGAUUUUCUCCUCCCACCCCAUCUUCUUGGCUGAAGCCAGUUUGAAUUAGUUUUUGUCUUUUGCCACCAACACUGAAAGAGUUUUGAUAUAGAGACGGAUGAAAAGACAGCAUUCCUGAUCCUGAGGCGGCAGACGUAAACUCAAGUGUGAGAAAUUGUUGGGAAGAUUGAAAGAGCAGAUUCGAGGAGGCUAUGCUUCAAGAGCAGCUUUCCAGAACCACACCACAGGACUGGCUGCUUCUGGGCCCCACAGCCACGAUGCCUCUGCACCAAUCAGGAAGCUGCUGGUUUUAGAAUAACCAAAUGUCUCCACCCGUGUUUGCCAGUAAAAUCAUCUCCCUAUGCCUGGUUUCCUCCUCAUCAGGCUUCAUUUUUCCUUCCAUGUUUUGUGAGGAGUCUGUCAUUACUUUUUGCCAUUAAAAGUAAUGGCAAAAUCCGC
rnacentral:lncRNA from 1 species